rnacentral:rRNA from 1 species
AUUGAACGCUGGCGGCAGGCUUAACACAUGCAAGUCGAGCGGGGACUUCGGUCCUAGCGGCGAACGGGUGAGGAAUGCUUGGGAAUCUGCCCAGUAGCGGGGGAUACCGUUUCGAAAGGAACGCUAAUACAGCAUACGCCCUACGGGGGAAAGGGGGGGAUCUUCGGACCUCUCACUAUUGGAUGAGCCCAAGUCGGAUUGGCUAGUUGGUGGGGUAAAGGCCUACCAAGGCGACGAUCCGUAGCUGUUCUGAGAGGAUGAUCAGCCACACUGGAACUGAGACACGGUCCAGACUCCUACGGGAGGCAGCAGUGGGGAAUAUUGGACAAUGGGCGAAAGCCUGAUCCAGCCAUGCCGCGUGUGUGAAGAAGGCCUUCGGGUUGUAAAGCACUUUAAGCGAGGAGGAAUGGCUCUUGGUUAAUAACCUUGAGCAGUGACGUUACUCGCAGAAUAAGCACCGGCUAACUCUGUGCCAGCAGCCGCCGUAAUAC